rnacentral:misc_RNA from 1 species
GAGUUUUCACCAUUUCAUAAAAAAUCUUGGAGAAAAGAAGUUGGCAAUAAAUCAUUUACCAAACUUGAUAUUUCCACAAUUUGACAAAAGAUUUGGACCUAGAAUCUUUCAUUUUGUCAAUUAAAGAGAAUCUGAAAAACUUCAGUUUUGUAAUUAACUGCUCAUUAAGGAACUGAAUUAAAACUCUACAGUAACAUCUGAUAUUUUGACCGAAAACACACAAACCCAUUAAAGAAAAUUUUGUAAACGCAUGGGUUAAAGCCAGGAAAAACCAGAGGCUAAACCGACCCAUCACAUGCAACCCAACAGAGAAACCACCUCAGAGACACAAACAAGCACGGCACAGGUCCCCAUAUGGGUGUCUUGAAUUCAUG